GACGAACGCUGGCGGCGUGCUUAACACAUGCAAGUCGAACGAAGUGGCGAACGGGUGAGUAACGCGUAAUCAACCUGCCCUUCAGAGGGGGACAACAGUUGGAAACGACUGCUAAUACCGCAUACUGAAGGAGGGGAUUGCGUUGGUUUAGGUUGUUGGAGGGGUAACGGCCCACCAAGGCGAUGAUGAGUAGCCCGUCUGAGAGGAUGAACGGCCGCCUUGGGACUGAGACACGGCCCAGACUGCUACGGGAGGCAGCAGUAGGGAAUCUUCCGGAAUGGACGAAAGUCUGACGGAGCAACGCCGCGGGAGGGAUGACGGCCUUCGGGUUGGAAAGCUCUGUUAAUCGGGACGCGGUACCGGAAUAGAAAGCCACGGCUAACUACGUGCCAGCAGCCGCGGUAAUAC
rnacentral:rRNA from 1 species